rnacentral:rRNA from 1 species
GUGGGGAAUCUUAGACAAUGGGGGAAACCCUGAUCUAGCCAUGCCGCGUGAGCGAUGAAGGCCUUAGGGUUGUAAAGCUCUUUCAGCUGGGAAGAUAAUGACUGUACCAGCAGAAGAAGCCCCGGCUAACUCCGUGCCAGCAGCCGCGGUAAUACGGAGGGGGCUAGCGUUGUUCGGAAUUACUGGGCGUAAAGCGCACGUAGGCGGACCGGAAAGUCAGAGGUGAAAUCCCAGGGCUCAACCUUGGAACUGCCUUUGAAACUCCUGGUCUUGAGGUCGAGAGAGGUGAGUGGAAUUCCGAGUGUAGAGGUGAAAUUCGUGGAUAUUCGGAGGAACACCAGUGGCGAAGGCGGCUAACUGGCUCGAUACUGACGCUAAGGUGCGAAAGCGUGGGGAGCAAACAGGAUUAGAUACCCCAGUAGUCC